UACGAAGGUCCCAAGCGUUAUCCGGAUUUAUUGGGUUUAAAGCGUGCGCAGGCGGCUUUGCAAGACAGAUGUGAAAUCCCCGGGCUUAACCUGGGAACUGCAUUUGUGACUGCAUGGCUGGAGUGCGGCAGAGGGGGAUGGAAUUCCGCGUGUAGCAGUGAAAUGCGUAGAUAUGCGGAGGAACACCGAUGGCGAAGGCAAUCCCCUGGGCCUGCACUGACGCUCAUGCACGAAAGCGUGGGGAGCAAACAGG
rnacentral:rRNA from 1 species